rnacentral:rRNA from 1 species
CCUACGGGGGGCUGCAGUAACGAAUCUUCCGCAAUGCACGCAAGUGUGACGGAGCGACGCCGCGUGUGGGACGAAGUCCUUCGGGAUGUAAACCACUGUCAAGAGAUCUACUCUAAAGGAAGGGGCGACUAACUCUGUGCCAGCAGUCGCGGUAAUACAGAGGCCCCAAGCGUUAGGCGGAAUCACUGGGCUUAAAGCGUGUGUAGGCGGGAUGGUAAGUACUUUGUGAAAUCCCACGGCUCAACUGUGGAAUUGCUUAGUAUACUGCCGUUCUUGAGUCAUUUAGGGGCAGCCGGAACAGAUGGUGGAGCGGUGAAAUGCGUGAUAUCAUCUGGAACGCCAAUGGUGCAGACAGGCUGCUGGGAAUACUGACGCUGAGGCACGAAAGCUAGGGGAGGAACGGGAUUAGAUACCCUUGUAGUC